GACAUCGAAAGCUUGCUUUUGAUGGGCGUCGACCGGCGCACGGGUGAGUAACGCGUAUCCAACCUGCCCACCACUUGGGGAUAACCUUGCGAAAGUAAGACUAAUACCCAAUGACGUCUCUAGAAGACAUCUGAAAGGGAUUAAAGAUUUAUCGGUGAUGGAUGGGGAUGCGUCUGAUUAGCUUGUUGGCGGGGUAACGGCCCACCAAGGCUACGAUCAGUAGGGGUUCUGAGAGGAAGGUCCCCCACAUUGGAACUGAGACACGGUCCAAACUCCUACGGGAGGCAGCAGUGAGGAAUAUUGGUCAAUGGACGAGAGUCUGAACCAGCCAAGUAGCGUGCAGGAUGACGGCCCUAUGGGUUGUAAACUGCUUUUAUACGGGGAUAAAGUGAGUCACGUGUGGCUUAUUGCAGGUACCUUAUGAAUAAGGACCGGCUAAUUCCGUGCCAGCAGCCGCGGUAAUACGGAAGGUCCGGGCGUUAUCCGGAUUUAUUGGGUUUAAAGGGAGCGUAGGCCGGAGAUUAAGCGUGUUGUGAAAUGUAGACGCUCAACGUCUGCACUGCAGCGCGAACUGGUUUCCUUGAGUACGCACAAAGUGGGCGGAAUUCGUGGUGUAGCGGUGAAAUGCUUAGAUAUCACGAAGAACUCCGAUUGCGAAGGCAGCUCACUGGAGCGCAACUGACGCUGAAGCUCGAAAGUGCGGGUAUCGAACAGGAUUAGAUACCCUGGUAGUCCGCACGGUAAACGAUGGAUGCCCGCUGUUGGUCUGAAUAGGUCAGCGGCC
rnacentral:rRNA from 1 species